rnacentral:rRNA from 1 species
UUCACGGAGAGUUUGAUCCUGGCUCAGGACGAACGCUGGCGGUGUGCUUAACACAUGCAAGUGGUGCGACGAACCAGGCUUCGGCCUGGGGCAAAGCCGCGAACGGGUGAGUAACACGUGGGUAAUCUGCCCCGAUGACCGGGA